rnacentral:rRNA from 1 species
UGGCUCAGGACGAACGCUGGCGGCGUGCCUAACACAUGCAAGUCGAGCGAGGAGAUUCCUUCGGGAUGAUCCUAGCGGCGGACGGGUGAGUAACACGUGGGCAACCUGCCUCAUAGAGAGGAAUAGCCUUCCGAAAGGGAGAUUAAUACCUCAUAACAUUGCAGUUUCGCAUGGAACAGCAAUUAAAGGAGUAAUCCGCUAUGAGAUGGGCCCGCGGCGCAUUAGCUAGUUGGUGAGGUAACGGCUCACCAAGGCGACGAUGCGUAGCCGACCUGAGAGGGUGAUCGGCCACAUUGGGACUGAGACACCGGCCCAGACUCCGUACGGGAGGCAGCAGGUGGGGAAUAUUGCACAAUGGGGAAACCCUGAUGCCAGCAACGCCGCGUGAGUGAUGACGGCCUUCGGGUUGUAAAGCUCUGUCUUCAGGGACGAUAAUGACGGUACCUGAGGAGGAAGCCACGGCUAACUACGUGCCAGCCGCGGC